UUUCUUGAGCCCCAAAUCGUCAUCAUUUAGAUGUAUGAGUGUCAUCCCGAGCUUGUGUAUGUUCAGUCAAAGCCAGCACCAGCCACAGAAAAGAACCUUUGACCGGGAGGUGCCCGUAAACGGUGUCUCCAUCACCACCUUCUUCGGACUCUGUCCUUCUACUUUUAGGGAUUUGACGGAACAAACUGCCCCAGACACCACUGAGAUCAUGACAUAGGCCAGCACACUUCCGGAAAUUCAAACUGACAGAAACUCCUGCCUCCUGCUAUUGCAAAAGUGGCUUGGUGUAGCAAGACGCCAGCUCGGAGCCUGGACCGCAGCUAAAGAUCUCAUUAUAUUGUCAAACAAGACUGCAGUGCUCACAAGAAACAGCUAUGGUAUUCUUGUUGAGAGUUGGGACGAGAGGUUGAGUAAAAUUUAACAAUUGUUUAGUCCUGAUGAUGCUCAAAAGUUAGGUAAAUUACCACGCUACCCAGCCGUUAGUCUAAGUUGUAAAGAAAUCGUGGUGAUCCAUGUGAAAACAUUUACAGCCAGUCCUAUAAAGGAGUCUUACUGAGUGAGAAUAGCUGUACUUUAGAAAAUCCAAAGCAAAUGUCUGGUAAGUGAACCCUUUUAUUAACCACUGACUUCUAUCAUAAUCCUAUUUUACAUUGGUAUAGUGCAUUUCACACAUCUAGCUCAUUUUUGUUUUAAUUGUAAAACUAUGAUGUUGCUUGAAAACUUUUAAAGCUAUCCUUUCUUAUUCAGAAAACAUUCAUCGAGUUACUAGUUUGUGAGGAUCAUCUUACUAUGUUCGUUUCCCACUUUUGCAACAAGUAUUUUAAGCCUUCUCCACUCACCUCGCACCUCCAGUACUCCCACUUCACCUCCUGCCCUGUGGAUGAUCUUGGGUCCUGCUUCACUCACUGAGAAAAUAGAAGCCAUGGUGGGGGGGGAGGGGCAGGGAGGAACUGCUCAAACUUCCUGCCACCAAAUCUGCAUCUUACAUCUGCCUCCAUGUUACCCUCCUUCAUUCCUAUGGCAAUGGAGAAGGCUCUCUUAGGGAGCUAUUUUAUAGAGAAGGAAACAUGCAGAAUGACCUGGAGAAAUGUCCAAUAUCUCACACCUAGUAAAAAGCAGAAUUUGAGCUCAGGUUUCCUGAUUUGGGGUUCAAUGUCGUUGUUUUUUCUUUUUCCAUUUUUUUAAUAGACUUUAUUUUUUUAGAGCACUUUUAGGUUCACAAUCAAAUUGAAAGGAAGGUACAAUGAUUUCACAUCCUGCUCCCACAAAUGCAUAGCCUUCCCAAUUAUCAACAUCUCUCACUAGAAUGGUAGAUUUUUUUUUUCAACCAAGGAUGAACCUUCACUGACGCAUCAUAAUUACUCAAAGUUUAUAAUUUACCUAAGGGUUAAUUCUUGGUAUUGUACAUUUAAUCAGUCAGGACGAAUGUGUAAUGACAUAUAUCCAUCAUUAUAAGACCACACAGAGUAUUUUCACUGCCCUAAAAAUGCCCUGUGCUCUGCCUUUUCAUCCCACUGCUCUCUCCCCAACACCUUCUGGGAACCUCUGAUCUUUUUAUUGUCUUCAUAGUUUUGCCUUUUCCAGGAUGUCAUAUAGUUGGA